AGGUGCGAUCGUACCAGCGCUAAUGCACCGGAUCCCAUCAGAACUCCGCAGUUAAGCGUGCUUGGGCGAGAGUAGUACUAGGAUGGGUGACUUCCUGGGAUGUCCUCGUGUUCCACCUC
rnacentral:rRNA from 2 species